ensembl:lncRNA
GUGAAAGGGAGCUAAUUAGUAAGAGUAUUGUUACUCUCCCCAGGAGUAGUCCAGCAGUAGAAAUCAGUCCAAUAACAAGGUGUGUAACAUCUAGCAGGGUGACAGAAAAACCCAGAGUAACUUCUAAGGACCUCAACGUCUCUCUCACAUUGCGUUUUUUAAACGUUUCCAUUUGUCACUUCAGUCUUUACUCUGAAAUACAGGAAGAGAAAUCAUGGCUGAAACAAUUUCUCAUGAAACCAGGGGUGUGGUCCAACAGUCAGUUUUGGUGAGGAAGGUUCCUAACUGAGAGAAGUGACCCAGAAGUAUCUGUGUAGGAGCCACAAUGAAUCAAGAUCAUGAGCUUUAUUAACUGAUCAGAGUCUAUUCUUUCAUCUUCUGUAUUAUUCAGUUUGCAUUGGUAAUGCCCAUUAUUGUAAUGCUUUUUUAAGAUGAGUGAAACUUUAUUUUACUUUGGGUUAGCUGGGAUAAGUGAUGGAUGGAGGGAAUUUUACUUCAGUCACAGAAAUCCUAAACAGGAAGGAGGAGCAGAGUUACAGUGGAUCACUAUCCAGCAGGGAAACAAGAUUUAUUUCAAUUUCUUGGCCAUGAGUGAGAUUUACAAAGUGGGCAAAUUAGGGUGAUGACACUGUUCCAGAGUGAUCUAUUAAUAGUGCACCAAUUUACAUUCAGAGAUGCAUGCAGCCAGUUCAUUUCAGUAUUAACCGGCUUUCUACCAACAGCAGCACAAAAACAGCAGAUUCGAUCAUGGAGACACUGAAUCUGCUAAACUAAUUAAAACAUUGUAAGUUCAGGUCUUCAGUUUACGUUUCUUUGUGAAAACAGCACAGCAAAGGAGACUCUGAUAUUUUGGUAUAAGGGAUAAAUCUUCUGACCAAACCUGCUGGGACUGUGUGAGGUCCUGAGGCUAAGAGUAAGGAUUUAUCCACAGGAGAGCUGCGUUCUUACAAACCAUCCCACUGUGUAAACCUGACAUCUGUGGAACAGCUGAGCUGUAUGAUGUGUACAAGGACACAAAACAUUAUUUACCAUCAGAUCCCGAGCCCUCCACGUGUUAAUCAAG